AUUUGGUCUCCCCAGGAAGCACAGACAUUUAGAAGGUCCCCGUACAACUCAUGCAAGUAUUUUAUUAACAACAAUUUCUAUUCACAUUUAGAGUCUGCACUCCUGACCCUGGUGUCUCCAGCAUUUAAGAGCAGUGGCACCAAGUCUGCUCCUUCAGACCUCAGAGCUUUCUUCUCCGUCCAGGACAGUAGCCCAUGUCUGUUCCUCUCUCAGUCCCAUGGGAUUUUUGGAAUGGAAUAAAGCCAAGGUUCAGCUGUUGCCGACAUCUUUGGCGCAGGGAGAGGACACUGAUCUGUGAGGGAAACCAUCUCCACCAAGGCUUACACCAGUAGCACAGUGGCACAAUGGCACCCUCUGUUGCCCUGCAUGAUUCCUUUGAUAGCUGCUCCCACGUGGACGUAUUAACUCCUGAAAACAUCUGUACACCACCUUCUCCAAAUCCAACUCCUUACUGCCCGACUUUCUGUGCUUGUUUGGAGCUAUCCUCUGUUUUUCCUCUUCUAAAGAAAAUCCAGUUUGCUCUUGGAGCUUGUACUGGAGGAGAUGGCAAACUGUGAGAUUAAUGAGCAAGAGGAAGUGGUGAGAGCCUGUAAUGCCACAAACACUUUGAGAAGAGUGGCCUUCUGUCCCCGUUUUGUCCUCCCUAACACAACCAAUGACAGCUUCCUGCACCAGUGGCAUGAAACACUGAGCUCAGUCCUGCAGAAUAGUGAUCAUUUCUGGGAGAUGCUGUGUGAGACGGCACCCAGCGCUUCCUGGAAAGUGAUUAGUCCUAAUGAGAUCAGGUUGUCCAACUCUCAAGCCACUAAUUA